UCUGUGAACUCGCAGAAGCUGCACGCCCACGUCUUGGGCUCGAGCGCGUUGAGAGUGGGACUUCCGCGAGUGCGUUUCUCCCGCAGUUGCGCGCAGAAAUGUCGGGAUGCAGGCUGAUGACAGCCGUGAGAGUAAGUGAGUUUGGAGCUCCGUCGGUGCUCCGACUCUGCUCGGAUGUGGCGGCACCACAGCCCGGACACAGACAGGUCCUGAUCCGUGUCCAUGCCUGUGGAGUGAACCCCGUGGAAACGUACAUCCGGGCUGGGACGUACGCCCGUAAGCCCCCCCUGCCGUACACACCGGGCACAGACGUAGCUGGAGUGGUGGAAUCGGUUGGAGAAGGUGUGACCGCAUUAAAGGCAGGAGACCGGGUGUUCACCAUGGCGACAGAGACCGGAGGUUAUGCAGAGUUCACCGUGGCAGCCGACCAGUGUGUCCACAAGCUGCACGACGCGUUAACCUUCCCCCAGGGUGCAGCCGUGGGGAUCCCUUACUUCACCGCCUACAGGGCUCUGGUUCACAAAGCCCACGCUAAAGCUGGAGAGACCGUCCUCAUCCAUGGAGCCAGUGGAGGGGUUGGUGUGGCAGCGUGCCAGUUGUCCCGUGCUCUGGGUCUCAAGGUGUUUGGGACGGCAGGGACACCGGAGGGACUGAAGCUGGCCCUCAGCAAUGGAGCUCACCUGGCCUUUAAUCACAGUGAAGAGGGCUACACAGGCAAAAUCAUGGAAGCUACAGAGGACAGAGGCAUCGACGUGAUAGUGGAGAUGCUGUCAAACGUUAACCUCAGUAAAGACCUCCAGAUGUUGGCCAUGGGAGGACGGGUUACGAUCGUUGGCUCCAGAGGCUCUGUAGAGAUCAACCCCAGAGACACCAUGGCGAAGGAGAGCAGCAUCAUAGGAGUGGUCCUGUCCUUCGCUACGCUGGAGGAUAACAAGGAGUGUGCGGCACUACUCUACGCGGGGAUGGAAGCUGGUUGGCUGCGUCCGGUCGUGGGCUCCCAGUAUCCGCUCGCCGAGGCUGCCCAGGCUCACCAUGACAUCAUUGAGUGUCCCGGGGCUGCUGGAAAGAAGAUCAUGACUGAUGCAGCGGGUUAAAGCUCCAUGGAAGAGAUGCUACCUCAUCACGAUGUUACUGUGACACAACAUGACCAGCAUUUUCCUGACGUUGCUACUGUCAGUCAUCAGAGCCCAGCGUGUGUCCCCUGUCCCAUCAUGCCCUGCUUCCUGUGUGGUUUGCUCUGAAGAUGCCCUCAUCUGUCACAGACUGGC